rnacentral:rRNA from 1 species
UGAGGAAUAUUGGUCAAUGGGCGCAAGCCUGAACCAGCCAUCCCGCGUGCAGGAAGACGGCCCUAUGGGUUGUAAACUGCUUUUCCAGGGAGAGAAACUUACGCACGUGUUGCGUGACUGACGGUACCCUGGGAAUAAGCAUCGGCUAACUCCGUGCCAGCAGCCGCGGUAAUACGGAGGAUGCAAGCGUAAUCCGGAUUCCUUUGGUUUAAAGGGUGCGUAGGCGGGCUAUUAAGUCAGUGGUGAAAUCCUGCAGCUUAACUGCAGAACUGCCGUUGAUACUGAUAGUCUUGAGUUUGGUUAAGGUAGGCGGAAUGUGUAAUGUAGCGGUGAAAUGCUUAGAUAUUACACAGAACACCAAUUGCGUAGGCAGCUUACUGAGCCGACACUGACGCUGAGGCACGAAAGCGUGGGGAUCAAACAG